rnacentral:rRNA from 1 species
UGAGGAAUUUUGGACAAUGGGCGAAAGCCUGAUCCAGCAAUGCCGCGUGUGUGAAGAAGGCCUUCGGGUUGUAAAGCACUUUUGUCCGGAAAGAAAUCCUUGGCUCUAAUACAGUCGGGGGAUGACGGUACCGGAAGAAUAAGCACCGGCUAACUACGUGCCAGCAGCCGCGGUAAUACGUAGGGUGCAAGCGUUAAUCGGAAUUACUGGGCGUAAAGCGUGCGCAGGCGGUUUGCUAAGACCGAUGUGAAAUCCCCGGGCUCAACCUGGGAACUGCAUUGGUGACUGGCAGGCUAGAGUAUGGCAGAGGGGGGUAGAAUUCCACGUGUAGCAGUGAAAUGCGUAGAGAUGUGGAGGAAUACCGAUGGCGAAGGCAGCCCCCUGGGCCAAUACUGACGCUCAUGCACGAAAGCGUGGGGAGCAAACAGGAUUAGAUACCCUGGUAGUCCACGCCCUAAACGAUGUCAACUAGUUGUUGGGGACUUCAUUUCCUUAGUAACGUAGCUAACGCGUGAAGUUGACCGCCUGGGGAGUACGGUCGCAAGAUU